GAUUGAACGCUGGCGGCAGGCCUAACACAUGCAAGUCGAGCGGAUGAAGGGAGCUUGCUCCUGGCUUCAGCGGCGGACGGGUGAGCAAUGCCUAGGAAUCUGCAUGGUAGCGGGGGAUAACGUCCGGAAACGGGCGCUAAUACCGCAUACGUCCUGAGGGAGAAAGUGGGGGAUCUUCGGACCUCACGCUAUCAGAUGAGCCUAGGUCGGAUUAGCUAGUUGGUGGGGUAAAGGCCUACCAAGGCGACGAUCCGCAACUGGUCUGAGAGGGUGAACAGUCACACUGGAACUGAGACACGGUCCAGACUCCGACGGGAGGCAGCAGUGGGGAAUAUUGGACGAAGGGCGAGAGCCUGAUCCAGCCAUGCCGCGGGUGUGAAGAAGGUCUUCGGAUUGUAAAGCACUUUAAGUUGGGAGGAAGGACAGUAAGUUAAUACCUUGCUGUUUUGACGUUACCAACAGAAUAAGCACCGGCUAACUUCGUG
rnacentral:rRNA from 1 species